rnacentral:misc_RNA from 1 species
UUAGGUGCCGCCAACCGACAUGGGGCUGUCUCUUCACUCUCCCUCCCGUCAUUUAAUUUGUCGGGGCUGGGAUGCUUGUCAUCGGUCGCCUGUGUAGUUCUACCCUGUUAUGCGUAGCAAAGUUGUCCCUCGAUUGAUAUUUGCUUGCCUUUAUGACAUUUUUUUGUCGUUUGGGCACCGAAAUGAUGGCGAAAUUCUUGUGUAGGUGCGUGGUCGAAUGGCCUUGUUGCUAUCACCUGGAUUUUUGCCGGCUCUCACGGAUGCUGUGCAUAGUGUUGGCUAUGUGUGGCUUUGCCCAGCAGACUUCGGGAGGUCCCUUGUACGAAUCAUUGUGAUCAGAUGCCGUUUGUCGUGUUGCUUGUUUGGCACGCAAAUCGUAUUGUUCUGUCCGGAGUCGGGAUGAUGAAAGUCAGAAUGAAGUGUCUGGGGCGUGCUUGCGUACUUGGGGAAUGCCUCUCCGAUCGUAUGAGCAGCGAUUUCCGGCAAGCGUCCGGGAAAGGCCUGCCCGUUCGGGUUGGUGCUGGAGCUA